rnacentral:misc_RNA from 1 species
GGAGCCUCUGAAUCAGUCUGACAAACUUUUUCUUUAAAUCUUGUGCGAGAGUACACCAGAAGACAUGGCGAUGCAUCUGAACUAGCCUUGCCAACUUCUUCCUUCAACCUUCUGCGAGAGUAAACUGUAACACGAGGUGAGGUCUCUGAAGUAGUUUGGUCAACUUUUUCUUUCAACCUAGCGCGAGAGUAAACCAUAACAGAAGGUGGGGUCUCAGGACUAGUCGGGCCAACUUUUCCCCUAUACUUGGUGCGAAAGUACACUUUAAGCCUCUCGCCUGUAGAACUAGGAAGAGUCUGGAUUUCAGGACCACCCACAUAGCUAGAAUUCUUAGGGCCUAAGGUUUUUGAUAUUCGUGGCGAACUGUUCAUGGAACGAUGCAAUUGAAACGCUAAUUGUGCAUCAUUUACAUCCUUACUUACAACCUUACCCUUACUUUUACC